UUUCCCAUUUAUGCAAUUAUAGUGUGUGAAACCCUAAUCCGAUAAUCUAUAGUAUCAAAACCCACAAAUCAUUCUCCCUCCGCCGCAUCAACCAUCUUCAGACCCUGAACCUUAGUUGAAAUCAACAAUGAUGCAGACUAAUUCAGUGGUUCAGGUUCACUGAAACGAUUGUCAGUUGUCUUGGCGGUGACAUAUUUUUUGUGGAUUAUGCAAAAAUAAUGGUGGAUGGGGAGGGAACAAAAGGCCUACAAGAAUCUUCUAAGCUUUCCCAGCUUCGGCCAAUUCCCCCCAGGAAGAUCAUCCAGGACUUCCCACUUGCUGAUGAAGUUGAUGCUAAUCAUAAUGACGGAUGGUGGGACGGUCGCAUCUCCGGAUCAUUGGGGGACAAUAUACGGGUUGUGCAUUUCAAAGGCUCAUGGGAACAACUAGUGUACUCCCAAGAAGAACUGAGGCGGCACCAUAAGUGGGUCGAUGGAAGUUAGAUCCCACCAUUUCCUCAACAGGAUUAUGAUAGUGAAAUAAAAGAAUUGGAGCGGGUAACGGCUGCUGAAACUGUGAGUGGAAACAAAGGUGAUUUCCAGUUUAAACCAGGGACAUUGGUUGAGGGUACAUCAGGGCUGGAUUGAUCAUAAAUGGGUAGUGGCUUCUAAGCGUUGAAGUUUUGAAUGUUGGAGAAAAUCAGUUUAAUAUUAGACUCAGUUCUUGUUAGCCAAACCUUUGAAUUUGUAGUUCUAAACUACUACUCUUCAUUAGAGUUGAUGAAAUAAACAAUAUAGUUCGAGGAGCCUUUAACCUCAAACAAUUUCCCUGGUUUAAACUUGAAAUCACCCUUGUCUCCACUCACAAUUUCAGGAGCCUUUAACCUUACUGUUUCUUUUAUUUCACUAUCAUAUAAUCUAAACAAGAAAAAACAAUGGCGGGAUCCAACUUCCAUUGACCCACUUAUUGUGUCGCCUGAGUUUUUCUUCUGAGUACACUAGCUGCUCUGACCAGUCUUUGAAAAACACGGCUCACUUACCCUCUACUAUAUAUCUGGGGAUGCAACCCCCCACCAUCCUUCGUUGUGAUAAGCCUCAACUUCAUCACCAUGUUGGAAGUCCUGGAUGAUCUCCUUGGGGGGAAUUGGACGGAGCUGGAAAAGCUUAGCAGUUUCUUGGAGGCCCUUUGUUCCCUCAUCAUCCUCUAUUAUUUUGUCAUACUCCACAACAAACUUGUCACCUGCGAGACAACCGACAAUCUUUCCAGUGAACCAUGAACCAUAGUAUUUGUCAACAUCGUUGUUGAUUUCAACUAAUGUUCUUGGUAUGAAGAUGGUUGAUGGGGCAGAAGAAGAACAGGUUGUAGGUUUAGAAGUCAUAGAUUAUUGGGUUAGGGUUUCAUGCGCUUUGAAUAGUAAGGGUAAAAGAGAUAAUGGUGAAGUGAAUAUGAAUGAGAAUGAGAAGGGUGUUUUUAUAGUUGUUUUCUA